CGGAAAUGCGCACUGUAUCGCCCAUCCGCACGCACAGUCCGGUGCGGUCGGUACGGGCUCCGCAGCGUUGCCAUGCUAGAGUUGGCACUCAGCCAGGAAGGAGUGUGCCUGCUCAGCGCAUCUGGCCGCCAGUGCGUCUCCUCGGCCCAGUUUAUCCUGCGCCUGCUCUACGCACGGCAGCCCUCAUUCCCCAGCACAGCCCAGUUCGCCCGGUGCCAGCGCUCCGCCCGUGCCGGGCUACAGUGACCAUCCAGCCAGGACGGGUUAUGCAGGCCGUGCACUCCAGACCUCCAGUGCGCCUCCAAGACCCAGUGUACCCUGUGCCUGCUCCGUGCACUCUACCUCCAGUGCACCACCAUAGCCCAGUAUGCCCUGUUCCUGCUCCUCACACUAGCCCGAAGGAGAUAUGGAAGGCUUGCAGUUGAUGUAGAACGCCUCCUGGUGGCCAUGUUGGACGACAACAACAGCUGAGUGGCUACCCCAAACUGCAUGAUAACAGUGCCUAAAACUAGUUGAUUCAUCACCUCGGUCAUUUUCUGUGGAGUAUUUGGCUGCUCUGGCAGAUUCCCCCCAAUCAUGAAACCCCAUUGGUGACAUCAACGAGCUGACCUCUAAUCAAGACACCUAUGUCAACGGGAUUCCCACUGUGAAGAUGAGCAAUGCCGCUGCAGCAUCAGUUUCUACUUCUACUUUGUCCUUUUCCAGAUAUGAAAGGACACAUCCGUCAGUUAUACGAGAUUGUCAUAUGCUGUGCUUUGGACAAUCUGAAUGAUUCUGUUGAGCCAUUUCAGUAGAGAGCACAUUCACCUUGUCAUCAUGACAAACGUGCCCCCUUAAACUGUGUGAAUAUAUAAAGUGUCAUUUGGAACGUGUAAAAUAAUAUUGUUGAUAUUGUAAACAUACUGUACUUUAAUAAUAGGCUAUAUUGUUGUAUGAGUGCAAUGACAAGUAUUUUGUCGUCUCUGCUCUGCCUAACCCCACUGAAUAUUGUAAAUAUCAAAAGUAAGCUUUGGCAAUAUGUACAUUGUUACGUCAUGCCAAUAAAGCAAAUUGAAUUGAAUUGAAUUGAAUUGAAUUGAGAGAGAGAGAG
rnacentral:lncRNA from 1 species